GACGAACGCUGGCGGCGUGCUUAACACAUGCAAGUCGAGCGGUAAGGCCCUUUCGGGGGUACACGAGCGGCGAACGGGUGAGUAACACGUGGGUGACCUGCCUUUAGCUCUGGGAUAAGCCUGGGAAACCGGGUCUAAUACCGGAUAUGACUCCGCGGCGCAUGUUGUGGGGUGGAAAGCCUUGUGCGGCUGGAGAUGGGCCCGCGGCCUAUCAGCUUGUUGGUGGGGUGAUGGCCUACCAAGGCGACGACGGUAGCCGGCCUGAGAGGGCGACCGGCCACACUGGGACUGAGACACGGCCCAGACUCCUACGGGAGGCAGCAGUGGGGAAUCUUGCGCAAUGGGCGAAAGCCUGACGCAGCGACG
rnacentral:rRNA from 1 species